rnacentral:rRNA from 1 species
UACAGAGACUGCGAGCGUUGUUCGGAUUCAUUGGGCGUAAAGGGUGCGUAGGUGGCGCCGUAAGUCAGGUGUGAAAUUUCGGAGCUUAACUCCGAAACUGCAUUUGAUACUGCGGUGCUUGAGGACUGGAGAGGAGACUGGAAUUUACGGUGUAGCAGUGAAAUGCGUAGAGAUCGUAAGGAAGACCAGUGGCGAAGGCGGGUCUCUGGACAGUUCCUGACACUGAGGCACGAAGGCCAGGGGAGCAAACGGG